ACAUUUCUAUUUUUACAGACACAAGAUGUAAAUUUUGCAAUGGAAGCCACAAGGAAAUGUCAGAUGGCUUUUGCAGCUGCUAAUGGAAGCAUGGAAGAGGCCCAGCAGAGGGAAGGAAUAUCAUCCAUCAAAAAGGCUCUUGAUUUUAACUUCCAAGAUGUAGAGGGAUUAUUACGUCUUGUACGUCUUGCAAUGGAGGCCAUUAGCCGAUAAGGGAGUUGAAGUGUGGAGAUGAUAUCAACCAUGGAAAGAAGUUUUGCUUCCAUGCCCCACCUUUCAGUGUCUAGCCUUUGCGGUGGAAAGAGAGGCUGGCAGGUAUCUUUGCUGCUGCACCCAUUCACGCUCCUGUUCAGAAAUGGUUAUCAGCUGAUCUCCAACUUUGUAUUCUAUGUACAUAUGUGCAAUUCGAGAAGAGUUCCAUUUUUAGCCUCUUUUCUUGGGCUCACUGCUUUUGGACAGAAAUUAAGCGUCUUUUCAAAUCAGUACGGCCAGUGAGGAUGUAUGGUUUAUAAAGAUUCUACACCAAUGAUGCUGAGUUUGUACAAUAGGCCAAUUUACCCUUGAGGAGGAUUCUGGUUGAAGGAAAUAUAUAUCAUAUAUGUAGAUAUAGGACCCUAUUGAUAGAUUGAUGGUGGUGGGCUUUUAGGAACUUGUAAUAUCAAAGCUUGCCGUCUUUCUAGAGUUCUUUGUUUCUGGGGGGAGUUCCAGUUUUUCUUGUCCUGUUCAUUUGUUCAUUUACUAUUUAUUCCAAAUCAUCUUAUGGAUGGGGGAGCGCAAGCAUGUCCAUGAGCUUCAUCAUCAUCUAAAAUUUUCCGGCAGAUCCUGCACUUAAUUGGUUGAAGCACCAAUAGAACUGGGAUUAUAGAGUUGAUGGCCCCAGCUUCUGUUGCAGUUUCACUUGGAUGUCAAUAGUAACAAGUAGGUAGAAGUUAGCAAGGUGGAAAAAUGGAAAACAGUGAAGAAAAAAAAAAAGGCAUGUAGCUCCCUUAAUGAGAUCGCCUGAAUUUCCCUCCUCAAGUUCAAAUUCAUGUACAUAAACAGAUCAUUCAAUUCUCAACUCCACGAGCAGAAGAAGCCCUCUCUUUUAAUCGGAGAGGAAGGUCUCACAUAAACCUUGGCUUGCUUGCCUGAGCUAAUAAGUAGGUAAACUUCUCUUUUCUUCUUUGUUCAAACACUAGAAGAUUAUGAGUUUCUAUAAGUUUUUAUCUAUUUGUAGAAGGCAUAGUUACGAAGAACAGAUAAUCAAGUAACUUCGAGCAAUUUUAUAGAAAACUACUGUACAAAUUGAUCGAAGCUAUAAUUCAACGGAAUUAGUUUGUUUCUGGGACCGAGGAAUGAAGGUGGGAGAAUAAGGAUUUGCAUUAAUAAUUUAUCACUGAGUACCAAAUUCUUUCAUAUUCCUUCCUCACUUCCCUUCAUUUUUCCCCCACGUGAUCUUUCUCACUGUGUAUGAAUUCUGAUGGACUAAUAUAUUGCGAGAAUGAUGUCGAUGAAGAUCGUCAAAUCAA